CAUCCAACCAUCUAUUAUUACGAUUGACCAAUAAUAGCAGAUUAGAGUUGAAUGGGAAAUGAGGGGGGGGCAAGUACAUGAUUGAUGCUGUACAGCAGAGCAAAAAAACAGUAUUAUUUUGACACUGAUUUGGUGUCAGCUUAGUAUUUGUUGUGCACUAAAGCACCAGUUCUUCCACCAAGGUUCCUGAUAAGAUUUGAGAUUCCAAUUGCAGUAUUCUUGUGGAUUCAAUGGUUAGGAACACAUAUAUGUAAUGUAUGUAAAUAAAUCAACCUUAGAUUAUUCCUUUUGGGGGUUCCCCUUUCACCUUGAUAGCUUGUGGGACAAAUGGAGAUGUUGCAUUAUUAAGAUCUAUACAUUAGUUUUCGAAGUUC